CUUGCCUGAACAUUCCUUAUAGCACUUGCCUACUUUUUCCUGAAAUCAAGGUCUGACAGAGCUAUCUCAUUGGCCACAUAUCCUGUAUGGUUGGUUGGCUGGUUGGCUGGUUUGGUUGGAGACAGGGCCUCCAUAUGCAGCUGUGGAACAUACUAUGUAAACCAAGCUGGGCUUCAAACUCACAGAGAUCUGCUUGCCCCUGUCUCCCAAGCAAUGGAAUUAGAGGUUUGUGCCACCAUGCCUGGCUUUCACUGGA
rnacentral:lncRNA from 1 species